AACAUAGAAACACGAACAGGUUCAAAUGGUACUGUCAUGUUAAUAGUUUGAUGUAUGAAUGUUACUGGAUGACCGACAAAAUAAUCUACAGCAGUGCAGUGUGCUUACAACCAUUUAAUUCAGUCGUAUUGAUUAAUGAUCACUACAUGAGAAAAAUCGAAACCAUAAUUAUUUCUACAAAUUCCAAGCCACCUCCCACAAUCACAAUUGACAGCAUUUGGAAAUUAAGAGGUUCAUUGUAAAAACUUAAAAACAUUUACAAAUGGCAAUCAAAUCAAAUGAGCAGGAUGCAAUUCUUAUGCUUAAGCUAAGUUGCUAAAUAGUUUAGUUAUCACUGCACAGAUGCCUAGAUGCAUCAGUUCUGUUACUGUUUUCAUUAGGCUUGGACUGGCAAAGAUCUAGUCUUCAGCAUUUCAUACAAAAUAAUUAAAAAAAUAAUAAUAAUAAAUAAAGCAUAAACCUCUAAUGCACAAUUUAAUAAAGUCUUAAAAAUAUUUGAGCCUUACUAAUAGGAAACACUUGUAGAACUCCAAGUGGAACUUCAUUUCAGCAAUAUCUCUCCACAAUUCUCCAACAAAUCCAGAAAAGAACAGCAAUAAUAAUGUAGUAGUUGAUGAAAUUGGAAGCAAAAAACCAAGAUAUAAUUUAUCAUCAAUUCAAGAGGAGUAUCUAUAUGUCCCAACUCUCUAGACGUCGCUAGAGUCCAAGAACCCCAAGCACGAACAGAAUUCAACAAAUAUAAAGAUAACCCUAACCCUGAUGCAAUCCUUCUACUUAAAGCAAACAAAAUAAUCUUCCAAAAGAAUAAAAAAACCUCAUAAUUCAAAAUUCUCAAUUAACCGCGACCAAAGAAUCACUUUGUCCUCAAGGUAAAAAGAAGAGAAUUGACAUUGCAUCCUCUCAUAUGGCUCCCAUGCAGCAUCAUAAUCGGGAAGAUUCCUCCAUUUGAUCAACAUACUUCUUUGAUCCCCCCUCCCCCUGGCAUACACCUUGUGGCCGUAGUGGUUCUAAUACCACUUUCAAAUACUCAGUUAGCAUUGCUUGCAACUCUGAAGUAGCUGUGUGAUCCACAAUAGCUCUCUUCAAUUGUGAUACAUGAAAUACUAGGUGUAUGGUAGCAGUCGGGGGUUACCUCAAACAAUAAGCUACUGCUCCAAACUUCUCUGAUAUCUCAUAAGAGUCAAAAUAUCUCCGAGCCAGCUUCUCGUUCUUCCUGUUAGCUCCCAUCCUCUGUCUAUAAGGUCGAAGCUUCAAGAACAUCAUAUCCCCAACUUCAAAAAGGACAUCCAUCAUAUGCUCAUCUGCCCGUUUCAUCAUAAUCUAUUGAGUCCUCAACAUAUGUUUUUUCAAUUUUUCCAACACCCUGUCCCUCUCCAUCAAGUAUUCUUUUACUGAAGAAACUAGAGUGCUAUGCUGCUCAAAAUGUGCCAACUGAGGUGGGUCUCAUCCAUACAACACUUUGAAUGGAGUUAUCUGGGAAGCGGAAUGAUACGAAGUGUUGUACCAGUACUUUGCCCAAGCUAGCUAUUUGACCAAAAGCAUAAGUGUCUUUGAAACAAAACAUGGUAGGUACGUCUCCAAGCUUCUGUUUACCACCUCCUUCUGCCCAUCUGUUUGCAAUAUUGUCCCCUGCAACCUAAAUAGCUCCCUCAAGAAGUGAUUUGGGAACACCUUAUCCUCGUCGAAUACUACACUCCAGUAUCCCAUACAAUCUGACCAUCUCUCUGAUGAAAGUUGUUGCAACUAUCAUUGUCGUAUAGGGGAAUGAAGUGGGCAUACUUGCUCAAUCUGUCUACUAUCAUUGAAAAUACUAUAAACCCCUCAAAUCAGAGUAACCCAUCUAUAAAAUCCAUGGAGACCUCCCACAUCCAAUCUAGUAGAACUAGAGGUUGCAAUAAUCCCCCUGUAGAUAUGGCCAUGUUCUUAUUCUUCUAACAUACCUCAUAACUGGCUACCAUCUCCUCUACAUCCUUACGCACCCCUUUCCAAUACGAUUCUCCUGUAUGUCUUAUGCACUCCCGAGUGAUCCCCAACAACACUCCCCUGAAACUACUUAAGUAGGUGUGCAAUAUGGAUUGAUGUCCUAGGCAUCACAAAUCUCCCUUGGUACAACAACCUCUCCCUCGCUAGAGAAUAGCAAAUGUGGCUAUUCCCAUCCUUCAAUAAAGCUUCCCUAAUCCUCCCCAGCUCCUCAUCCCGCGCACACUCCUCCUUAAUGGACCCCCAAUCCAGCAUCAGGGGUAACAAUAUGGCUAACUCUUGGAGCUCCCCCAUGCAUCUAAACAAGGCAUCCGCUGUCUUAUUCUCUAUCCUGGGCCUAUAUUGGAUCUCGAAAUCAUAUCCCAAUAACUUUGAUAGCUAUCUCUUAUGCUCCUCUGUCAACAUCCUCUACUUCAACAAAUACUUCAAGCUCUAUUAAACCACCAUGACAAUAAAAUAUCUACCUAACAAGUAAGAUUGCCACUUCUGGAUGGCUAGCACAAUAGCCAUCAACUCCCUCUAGUAGACUGACUUCAGCCUGGCUUUAGCUGUUAACAUCUGGCUGAAGUAAGAUAUGAGUUUGUGGCUCUGCAUGAGAACUGCUCCCAAUCCAUACCCUGAUGCAUCCGUUUCUACCACGAACACCUGAGGCUAAGACCGAUAUAAUAGCCAUGGCUUUCUUCAACCUCUUAAAAGCAUGUGUAGCUUUCUCUCCCCACAAAAAGCAAUCAUUAUUUAGUUGCUCUGUCAAUGACCAAGUAUGGUGUUGUAUCCUCUCACAAAUCUUGUGUAAUAUCUUGUUAACCUAGGAAGUCCAUCAACUCUCUCAGAUUUAUAGGUAGAGGCCAUUUCUUUGUUUGAUCUACAACCACCACUCCUGAGAGAUCACGUGCCUUAAGUACUCUAUACUGGCCUGUGCAAAACAACACUUCUUCACGUGCCUUUAGCUGUCGCUCCUGUAACACCCUAGGACCAUCCUCAAGUGCUCCUAAUGUUCCUCGUUCGACUUGAUGUACACCAGGACAUCAUCAAAGAAAAUCAGCACAAACCGCUUGAGAUAUGGUCAGAAUACCCUGUUCAUGAGGGACCAAAAUGUGGUCAGGUCAUUAGUGAGGUGAAACAACAUCACCAGGAACUCAUAGUAUCCCUCAUGUAUUCUGAAAGAAGUCUUCUUAUUCGGAUCUGAUGAUAACUGCCCCACAUAACUCAUCUAAUAGCUCAUCUAGCACUGGGAUGAAAAACUUGUCUAGCACCGUCUCCUUAUUGAAGGCCUGAUAAUCUACGCAGAACCUUCAACUCCC